UACGUAGGGUGCAAGCGUUGUCCGGAAUUAUUGGGCGUAAAGAGCUCGUAGGCGGUCUGUCGCGUCGGAUGUGAAAAUCCAGGGCUCAACCCUGGACCUGCAUUCGAUACGGGCAGACUAGAGUUCGGCAGGGGAGACUGGAAUUCCUGGUGUAGCGGUGAAAUGCGCAGAUAUCAGGAGGAACACCGGUGGCGAAGGCGGGUCUCUGGGCCGAUACUGACGCUGAGGAGCGAAAGCGUGGGUAGCAAACGGG
rnacentral:rRNA from 1 species